GAGUCGCCGCCUUCGGCUCCACCGUCGUCGCCGAGGGCAGAGCCCCCAACGCCGCCUGGGUCCACGCCUGGACCGUCGCCCCCGAUGGGAUAAUCACCCAGGUCCGCGAGUACUUCAAUACCUCCCUCACCAUCACCCGAGUCGCCGCCUCUUCGGCUUCCUCCAAGGAACCAGCAGGCUCGACACACUGCCUUCACCUGUGGCAGAGCCGCCGCCCCGUCCCUCCCGAGAAAUCCUUCCCCGGCCUCGUCCUGGCCAUCUAAGCCACUACAAACAAUCCUAAGCCGUAAGCCUAAUCAUUCUAAAUAAAGAGGGGUGGGUGAAAGUUCCAUGGGCUGAGAGGGAACCCCCACUCCCCGUUG
rnacentral:lncRNA from 1 species